rnacentral:misc_RNA from 1 species
GAAAUAUUCUUGUUUCCAAGAAAAAGAACAAGUCGUCCCAGGUGGGCUCGCCACUCUGCUUUAAUGCCAAUCUGGAUAUAGGGGUCUUCGUACAGCACACCACUAUCUUUCAUGCACAACGCAUGGAACCUUUCAGCUAUAUUUCCUAUCGGCUGAACCGAAUUUGUCUGUUCUCCAACUGGAACAAUAGCUCCACCCUCAACCGCAUUUGGAACACCA